GACGAACGCUGGCGGCAUGCCUAACACAUGCAAGUCGAACGGCAGCACAGUAAAGAUUUCGGUCUUUAUGGGUGGCGAGUGGCGGACGGGUGAGUAAUGCGUAGGAAUCUGUCCUGGAGAGUAGGGUAACCCGAGGAAACUCGGGCUAAUACUGCAUGAUAUCGAGAGAUCAAAGGCAGGGGACCCUUCGGGGCCUUGCGCUCUAGGAUGAGCCUACGUCGGAUUAGCUAGUUGGUGGGGUAAAGGCCUACCAAGGCGACGAUCCGUAGCUGGUCUGAGAGGAUGACCAGCCACACUGGGACUGAGACACGGCCCAGACUCCUACGGGGGGCAGCAGUGGGGAAUCUUGGACGAUGGGGGAAACCCUGAUCCAGCGAUGCCACGUGUGUGAAGAAGGCCUUCGGGUUGUAAAGCACUUUAGUUGGGGAAGAAAAGUAAUGAGUGAAUAACUGAUUGCUCUGACGGUACCCAAAGAAUAAGCACCGGCUAACUCUGUGCCAGCAGCCGCGGUAA
rnacentral:rRNA from 1 species